rnacentral:sRNA from 1 species
CUGAGCCACCACCUUCUCCCAUUGCCAGGACAUCAACAGCGUGGCUAUUGCCCCCAAUGACAAGCUGCUGGCCACAGGCUCACAGGACCGCACGGCCAAGCUCUGGGCCCUGCCGCAGUGCCAGCUGCUGGGUGUCUUCUCAGGCCACCGGCGUGGCCUCUGGUGCGUCCAGUUCUCUCCCAUGGACCAGGUGCUGGCCACGGCCUCAGCUGACGGCACCAUCAAGCUCUGGGCACUCCAGGACUUCAGCUGUCUCAAGGUAAGCGGCGCUCCAGGCCCUCCCCACCUCCCGCCCUGGUGACAUCUCAUGCCCUACCCCCCACCUUGCAGACAUUUGAGGGGCACGAUGCUUCUGUGCUGAAAGUGGCCUUUGUGAGCCGUGGCACGCAGCUGCUGUCCAGCGGCUCGGAUGGCCUCGUGAAGCUCUGGACCAUCAAGAACAACGAGUGUGUGCGGACACUGGAUGCCCACGAGGACAAGGUCUGGGGGCUGCACUGCAGCCGGCUGGACGACCGCGCCCUCACUGGGGCCAGUGACUCCCGAGUCAUCCUCUGGAAGGUUGUGGGCCCCAAGGGCAGGGAAGAGUCGGGGUGGAGUGGAGGCCCCAUCUGACCCCAGUCUAACCCCAGGAUGUGACCGAGGCGGAGCAGGCAGAGGAGCAGGCCAGGCAAGAGGAACAGGUGGUCAGGCAGCAAGAGCUGGACAACCUGCUGCAUGAGAAGCGGUACCUGCGGGCGCUGGGCCUGGCCAUCUCCCUGGAUCGGCCCCACACCGUGCUGACUGUCAUCCAGGCCAUCCGGAGGGACCCUGAGGCCUGCGAGAAGCUGGAAGCCACCAUGCUCCGACUGCGGCGCGACCAGAAAGAGGCCCUGCUGCGCUUCUGCGUCACGUGGAACACCAACUCGCGGCACUGCCACGAGGCCCAGGCCGUGCUGGGUGUGCUCCUGCGGCGUGAGGCCCCCGAGGAGCUGCUGACCUACGAAGGCGUGCGGGCAGCGCUUGAGGCCCUGCUGCCCUACACUGGUAUGUGGGCACAGCCUGGGGUUGGGGGAUCCUAGUGGGCGUGUGGACCACCCCCCUAACCUCCCUCUGUCCAACCCCAGAGCGGCACUUUCAGCGGCUCAGCAGGACCCUCCAGGCCGCCACUUUCUUGGACUUCCUGUGGCACAACAUGAAGCUCCCUGUGCUGGCCACUGCCCCCACCCCCUGGGAAACCCAUAAAGGCGCUCUCCCCUAGCCGGUCCGGUCUCUCUCCAGUCCAUCCUGAAC